rnacentral:tmRNA from 1 species
GGACUUUCUAAUUUACCUGCCUUUGCCUAUAUUUGGGCCGCUGCCUCGCGCAGCUAUGGCGAUAAACGGCAUCGCAAUAAGCUCUUCGGACCCGGGGGCGGUACCCGGCGCCUCCACCAAAGUCCACCGCGAGCGGCGGAUUUCGGCGGGGGCGAAAUAGGUUCGACGGGGAGUGUAAAGGGUGUUCUUUUGCUCGGCAUGGUUCCACCGUCAUCGGGCUAAACCUAUAGUUGCCAACGACAACUAUGCUCCGGUGGCUGUUGCCGCGUAAUGCGGUAAUGGUACCGAUUAAAAGCCCUUGGGGUUAGCACCUUAAGGCGGGGUUCGGAGGCACCUGGCAACAGAAGCCUCCACU